rfam:TPA: Bos taurus chromosome 4, whole genome shotgun sequence.
UCCCUGGUGGCUCAGAGGGUAAAGCAUCUGCCUGCAAUGCAGGAAAUCUGGGUUUGAUCCCUGGGGUGGGAA